GAGACUCUGUGCGCGUGCAUAUCAAUAAGCGGAGGAAAAGAAACUAACAAGGAUUCCCUUAGUAACGGCGAGUGAAGCGGGAAGAGCUCAAAUUUGAAAUCUUCAAGGUUCUACCUUGACGAAUUGUAGUUUAUAGAAGUGUUUUCUGUUAGUGGAGUGGCAAAAGUUCUUUGGAAUAGGACAUCAUAGAGGGUGAGAAUCCCGUAUUUGGUCAUUCCUCCUAGCGUUGUGAUACACUUUCAACGAGUCGGAUUGUUUGGGAAUGCAGUCCAAAAUGGGUGGUAAAUUUCAUCUAAAGCUAAAUACUGGCGAGGGACCGAUAGCGAACAAGUACCGUGAGGGAAAGAUGAAAAGAACUUUGAAAAGAGAGUUAAACAGUACGUGAAAUUGUCAAAAGGGAAGCGUUUGACACCAGUGUUGUUUUCUCGAAAAUCAAUUAAAAAUGGCUGGGAUUUUGUGUUGUAUUGACUUUAUCAGCUUUCUGCACUUUUUUCCUAUCUUUUUUAAUGCACUUUUCGUUUAACAAGUCAACAUCAAUUUCUUUUGCUUGUAAAAGAGGUCAUUGGAAGGUGGCUUUCUUUUCGGAGAAAGUGUUUAUAGCCUUUGACCUCUGCAGUCGGAGAGAUUGAGGUCUGCAGCGUAGAUCCUUCGGGGUUAGAUACAUUUGUGCUAAGCUAUAGCCUUUUCAUAGACAACUUGUUGACUAUGAUCAGUCAUGUAGCUUACUCGCUUAUGCUAUUUUACCUACGCUUAGGAUGUUGACGAUCAGCUGAGCGCG
rnacentral:rRNA from 1 species